rnacentral:lncRNA from 1 species
CUGCUCACAUCCCAGAAGAGAGACAACACUGCUGGAAAAACUCCAUAAAACAUACAUAUUUGCUGCCAUGUGGAAAAGAGAGAAGUGACUAAACGUAGAGAGCAGCAUGGGAGAACACAGGGCUUUGGAGGAUGGAUCUGAGGUGAAAUAUGUAAACAUAAUCCGUCGCAUACCAGGCAGCCUCCACAGACAGAAUAUGAAGACAUUUGCAGCUAUAAUACCUGUCACAGUCCGCUGACCCUCAGUCAGGUUAUUCCACCAGCUGUUAACCUGCUUCCUGAAGUUCCCCCUCUUCUGCGGCCGAAUCUUAUCCAGCCAGUCGGCCCGCGCCUCCUCGAAGUAGCUCUGGACCCGGGACUUGAGCGCCUCGUACUGCCAGAUGGCCGCCGCGCCGAAGGCCGUGCCUGUGAACCCCACCGCGAAGAGCAGCGGCUUCACCAGGCGGCGCGGCGAGGGGCGGCCCCCGCGGGCGGGCGGCGGCGGGCACAGGCUGCGGCGGGGCGGCGGCGGCGCGGGCCGCGCCUCGGCGCUGCCGGCGGGGGCCUGGGGCUCCUCGCUCCGCGGCCGCACCCGCCGGAAGCCCUGCCGCUGCUCCAGCAGCACCGUCAGCCUAUGCGCCCGCGGGUCCCAGGCGCGGGCCCAGCACCGCCACGCCAUGUUGGGCGCCU